GGAACCGCUGUUGAGUGGGUACAGAUGCCUGGAAUGAAGCCUGGUCCGGAUUCCAUUGGAAUCAUCGCUAUUUCUCAUGGUUGCACUGGUGUGGCAGCACGUGCCUGUGGCCUAGUGGGUCUUGAGCCUACAAGGGUUGCAGAGAUCGUCAAGGAUCGUCCUUCGUGG